rnacentral:rRNA from 1 species
UACGAAGGGGGCUAGCGUUGUUCGGAAUUACUGGGCGUAAAGGGCGCGCAGGCGGCUCUUCAAGUCAGAUGUGAAAGCCCCGGGCUCAACCUGGGAACUGCAUUUGAGACUGGAGAGCUCGAGUUCGGGAGAGGAGAGUGGAAUUCCCAGUGUAGAGGUGAAAUUCGUAGAUAUUGGGAAGAACACCGGUGGCGAAGGCGGCUCACUGGCUCAUAUCUGACGCUCAGGCGCGACAGCGUGGGGAUCAAACAGG